UGAGCCACAACAGGAACUCCCAGAGUUUUUGGUUUUUGAUUCUGGAAUCCAGCAGGCUGGUCAAGAUGCACAUUUUGUCUUCCUUCCCUUACUAGUUGGGUGGCCUUAGCCAAGUUGCUUGAUGUCUUUGGAUCCUAACUUGCACCAUCAUCCUGAGGAUCAAACAGGUCGGUGUGGAUGAGAGUGUUUUGCAAGGCUGUGUGCAGAUGUCCAGUGUCCAUUCUAAAUGCUGAGGGACACACAGGUGGAGGGGCCACCACAGGCAGGCGAGGACAAUCAAGGGUGGCUUCCAGUGUUUAGAAAUGAGGGAGGGGAUCGCUGGGGCGGAGAGCGCAGGUUCUCUGGGUGCAAAACGUGAUGAAGGUCUGGCUGGGCUCCGUGACCGGCCGGAGCUCUCUGGUCUCAAGCGGGUGAACAUCUUGCUGAGAAUGGUUUGGGUGGCACUUGCUUUUAACAACUAGAUGAUGAAAUGGCCUCCAGGACCACAGCUUCUUUCAUCCUUCUCAGGAGGCGCUUCCUGCUGGCCCCGUGAGAACCCCGUCCAGCAAAUUCUGGGAUGAGAGGAGGGUGGCGUGAAGCUCCAUUUUUCCCCAUUGCCCUGACCUGCUCCCCACAUCUCAAUGUUCUCCGGAGGGAACAUUAGCCAGACAUUGUGACCCUCUGCUGAAUGAACACAAAAUGGUUCCUCCAAGCCCUGCCACUCGGAACCCACCCAAGUCUGAUUUUAUGCUUCCUUGGCAUUGUCAGGAGUGAGCUCAAUUCAGACCAAUUUAGAUCUCUCGGCCCAUGGGCCAGGGGGACUUUGAGCAGGAGGGUCUUUUGUCUCUAAGCAGUCAUUCCUUGUUGUACAAGCAAGAGUCAGGAGGAGGGAUGGUUUUGGCCUCAUCCCCCACAGACAGCAGUGGAGCCUUUAGGCCUGGAGGGAAGGGCCAGGCUGAGGCUGGCAUAUGGAGGGAGAGCCCUGGGCACAGGGGGCAUGAGCUUCACCCAGCUGGGGCUACCUUCUGCUGGGUUUGUCCAUCUGGCACCAGCUGGCUUCCCGGCACCGUCCCCACAACCAACCAGACUCCUUCGGCUGUGGUUGCCAUGGCAAUUGGCUGCCAUCUUGUACUUAGGGCACUAUCUCAUAUCUGGAAUUUCCCAUGGGGUUCCUGGAGGAUGGGAGAUAGGUCUCCAGGGAUUUAGCCUUUCCUCUUUAUAUCCGCCCAAUGAAAAUUCAUAUUAAUAUACGAUUUUUAAAAAUAGCCAAAAUGAAGGCUUACUUUAUGUGAGGCUCUGCUAAAUACUCCCUAUGUGUUAUUUCAUUGGGCUACGAAAGCAUUAAUGAAAUAAAAUUCAAGAGGUCCCCACCCAGUUUCCUGUUUCUAUGAUAGACUUUUUCUCUCUCCAACCAGGAACUGCCAGGUCUUGCUUACUCCUGCCUUGGGAAGUCCUUCCCAAUGUCUAACCAAGAUCUGUACCGCUGAAGUACCAGUUCUUUGACCCUCGGCUUGACAUGGCUAAUCUGAGAGGCACAGGGAGGAACUGACCUUGAUUUGGCACCCGCUUGCUUGUUCCUGAAAACUGAGUGAUACUGUCGCCACUACAAAAAGACAUAAUCAGAGCCCCAAGUCACAGGACUGACCAAAAAGAAGAACCUACUUCACCCACUUGUCCUGGGUUCCCUCUGAGACGCUGUCUUGAUUGACUGAAAGAUGAGGCUAAACUCUAGCAAGUUGAGUGGCUCCUCCCAGAAUCCUUUAAGCAGGAUAGAAGUGGGGAGGCCCCAGCCUCCAGCCUGGGCAGCCCGUUAGACUGGAGCCGCCUGGCAAAGACUUUAUUUCAUCAUUGCUCCAGUGUCUGCAAGCUGUCCAUCCUGGCCAGCCCUGGUUUCCCCUGUGUCGUCUGAACUGAGAAUCUUCUGAGAUGGAAGUCCCAUCUCAUGCCUAAUAAAGACUCUCAAAUAUUGAACAACA